rnacentral:rRNA from 1 species
GUCUAUAGCCAUGCCACCAAGAGAAUGUGCCCAAUCUCUUCUGAUCUCAGAAGCUAACCAGGGUUGGGCCUGGUCAGUACUUGGAUGGAAGACCACCUAGGAAUACCAGGUACUGUAGGCA